GCGGGUAUGGCGAAAUGGUAGACGCGCUGGUCUUAGGAACCAGUGAGGAAACUCAUGGGGGUUCAAGUCCCUCUACCCGCACCA
rnacentral:tRNA from 1 species